AAAAAAAACAAAGUUGAUCCAUUCCAUAAGAAGUCCACUUUUAAAAAUCUUUAAAUAUAGGAUAUCAAAGGGUCUUGAUAAGAAGGGUUCUGCAUUUCUGUAUUCUUUUAAUUUAUAAUUAGUUUCCUCUGUUUUUGCCCUUUAUUCUCUGUUGCUAUAUUUUAGCGCUUCAUUUUUCUUAAUUUUUUUAUUAUUAUUAUUAUUUGUUUCCCCUAUUUUUCUAUAUUUGUUAUUUUUGUGGGCCAUAUUUCUGUAGAGUUGACUCAUUAUUCUUUAUUCUUUCUUCUUUAAAACCCCACCCAGACACUCAUAUCAGAACAAGGUGGACAUAAAAAAAACAGUUAACAGCUGAACUUCUAAAGGUUCAUACGAUAACGCUUUAAAUUGGAUUUUCAGACAUUACUUCCUUAACAGUGUUACAUGACCUUGUAUUUUUAUUGUUUGCC
rnacentral:lncRNA from 1 species